rnacentral:rRNA from 1 species
AUUGAACGCUGGCGGCAGGCCUAACACAUGCAAGUCGAGCGGUAGAGAGAAGCUUGCUUCUCUUGAGAGCGGCGGACGGGUGAGUAAUGCCUAGGAAUCUGCCUGGUAGUGGGGGAUAACGUUCGGAAACGGACGCUAAUACCGCAUACGUCCUACGGGAGAAAGCAGGGGACCUUCGGGCCUUGCGCUAUCAGAUGAGCCUAGGUCGGAUUAGCUAGUUGGUGAGGUAAUGGCUCACCAGGGCGACGAUCCGUAACUGGUCUGAGAGGAUGAUCAGUCACACUGGAACUGAGACACGGUCCAGACUCCUACGGGAGGCAGCAGUGGGGAAUAUUGGACAAUGGGCGAAAGCCUGAUCCAGCCAUGCCGCGUGUGUGAAGAAGGUCUUCGGAUUGUAAAGCACUUUAAGUUGGGAGGAAGGGUUGUAGAUUAAUACUCUGCAAUUUUGACGUUACCGACAGAAUAAGCACCGGCUAACUCUGUGCCAGCAGCCGCAGUAA